UACGGAGGGUCCAAGCGUUAUCCGGAAUCAUUGGGCUUAAAGGGUCCGUAGGCGGUUUUGUAAGUCAGUGGUGAAAGCCCAUCGCUCAACGGUGGAACGGCCAUUGAUACUGCAAGACUUGAAUUAUUAGGAAGUAACUAGAAUAUGUAGUGUAGCGGUGAAAUGCUUAGAGAUUACAUGGAAUACCAAUUGCGAAGGCAGGUUACUACUAAUUGAUUGACGCUGAUGGACGAAAGCGUGGGGAGCGAACAGG
rnacentral:rRNA from 1 species